rnacentral:lncRNA from 1 species
UUAAAUAGUUAUAACAGCAAGAUUUUUUGAAAUCCAAGGUAUAUAUUAGGGGUUCAAUAUACCAUGGUAGGGGGUUAAAAUACAGUGGCAAAGUAAAAUUUUCAAAACAUCUUUUCCAUCUUGUUAAAUACUUACAAACUACUUAUUGGAGUAUUAAUAAUAUGUUAAGGAGUUAGUAAAGCUAGAAUUUUUUUAAUGAGAGGUCUGUUGUGGGGGUCAAAAUACAAUGGCUUAGUAAAAUUUUCUAAACAUCUUUUCAAGCAAGUUAAAUACAUACAAUCUACUUAUUGGAAUAUAAUUACUAUGUUAAACAGUUAAAACAGCUAGAUUGUUUGAAAUGCAAGGUCUGUUGGAGGGGGUUUAAUAAACCAUGGUAGGGGGGUCAAAAUAUGGCAAAGUUAAAUUUCAAAAUAUCUUUUCCAUCAUGUAAAAUACAUAUAAACUACUUAUUGGAGUAUUUUUACUAUGUUAAGGAGUUGGUGUAGCUAGAAUUUUUUAAAUGAGAGGUCAAUAGUUGGGGAGGGGUCUAAUAUACUGCAGGGGGGUCAAAAUACAAUGGCAAAGUAAAAUUUUCAAAACAUCUUUUCCAUCAUGUUAAAUACAUACAAACUACUUAUUGGAGUAUUAUUACUAUGUUAAGGAGUUAGUAUAGCUAGAAUUUUUUUAAUGAGAGGUCUAUAGCAGGUGAUUCAGUGUACCGCAGGGGGGUUCAAAAUACCAUGGCUAAGUAAACUUUUGAAAACAUCUUUUCAAGCAAAAAAAAAUACAUACCAACUACUUAUUGUAAAAUAAUUGCUAUGUUAAC